GUAGUCAGUAAAAAAAUUUUACAAGAUAAAAAAAAAAACAGUUCUCGUCCGAUCACUGAAGUUAAGCAACGUCGGGCUCGGUUAGUACUUGGAUGGGUGACCGCCGGGGAACACCGAGUGCUGUAGACG
rfam:Lottia gigantea unplaced genomic scaffold LOTGIsca_759, whole genome shotgun sequence.